GACGAACGCUGGCGGCGUGCCUAAUACAUGCAAGUCGAGCGAAUGGAUUAAGAGCUUGCUCUUAUGAAGUUAGCGGCGGACGGGUGAGUAACACGUGGGUAACCUGCCCAUAAGACUGGGAUAACUCCGGGAAACCGGGGCUAAUACCGGAUAACAUUUUGAACCGCAUGGUUCGAAAUUGAAAGGCGGCUUCGGCUGUCACUUAUGGAUGGACCCGCGUCGCAUUAGCUAGUUGGUGAGGUAACGGCUCACCAAGGCAACGAUGCGUAGCCGACCUGGGAGGGUGAUCGGCCACACUGGGACUGAGACACGGCCCAGACGCCUACGGGAGGCAGCAGUAGGGAAUCUUCCGCAAUGGACGAAAGUCUGACGGAGCAACGCCGCGUGAGUGAUGAAGGCUUUCGGGUCGUAAAACUCUGUUGUUAGGGAAGAACAAGUGCUAGUUGAAUAAGCUGGCACCUUGACGGUACCUAACCAGAAAGCCACGGCUAACUACGUGCCAGCCGCCGCCGUAA
rnacentral:rRNA from 1 species